AGCCAUCUCAAGCUGUUUGCUUUCCUGAGUCUUUACUCCUCCAAUAGCCACUGUUUCACGUCGCGGGGACCCAGCCUUAUGUCCAUCCUCAUUCAUAGAAGAAAUAGCUGCAUUGACAGAUGAAUCAUGAGCACAUAAACUCAAUGAAUGCUCCAGGUUCCUCUCAGGAAGCAUAGGUACUCAAAAAUCACCUUCACUCGUGUAAGUCACAUGACGCAAGUAUCAUUUCUACAAACAAGAAUAGAUAGUUUGAUACAGUACAGGAGACGCUCAACGAUUUCACCGCUUCUGUCGGAUACUUUUUGAGCUGGCCAGCACAGCUACUGAGAACUUGUUUUGCCUGCCUCUGUGAUAUUUGGGGAACCUGAAGACAAUAAGUGGAAAGACUUAAACAAAAGAGAUUGGUUGCUUGGUUUCUGAAUUAAAAAUGCUUUCUUCUUCGGGGGGCUGCAUGAAGAAACAGUAGCUAUUCCAGCGUCAUUACAAGAACAGCGAGUUUAUCUCAUAACAACAGUUCAUAUCUAAAUUCCACCGACACAAA